GGUUAAGCGACUAAGCGUACACGGUGGAUGCCCUGGCAGUCAGAGGCGAUGAAGGACGUGCUAAUCUGCGAUAAGCGUCGGUAAGGUGAUAUGAACCGUUAUAACCGGCGAUUUCCGAAUGGGGAAACCCAGUGUGAUUCGUCACACUAUCAUUAACUGAAUCCAUAGGUUAAUGAGGCGAACCGGGGGAACUGAAACAUCUAAGUACCCCGAGGAAAAGAAAUCAACCGAGAUUCCCCCAGUAGCGGCGAGCGAACGGGGAGCAGCCCAGAGCCUGAAUCAGUGUGUGUGUUAGUGGAAGCGUCUGGAAAGGCGCGCGAUACAGGGUGACAGCCCCGUACACAAAAAUGC
rnacentral:rRNA from 1 species